rnacentral:rRNA from 1 species
GGACUACCGGGGUAUCUAAUCCCGUUUGCUCCCCUGGCUUUCGUGUCUCAGUGUCAGCACACCCCCAGCUACCUGUUUUCACCAUUGGCGUUCCAAAUGAUAUCUACGCAUUUCACCGCUCCACCAUUUGUUCCGGUAGCCCCUGAGUGGCUCAAGACACCCAGUAUGUCAAGCAAUUCCACGGUUAAGCCGUGGGAUUUCACAAAACACUUAGGCAUCCACCUACACACGCUUUAAGCCCAGUGAUUCCGCCUAACGCUCGAGGCCUCUGUAUUACCGCGGCGGCUGGCAC